UCUAUAUUAUCGUUCACAAGUUAUGUGAAAAUAACGCUAAAGUAGCGGAACUUUUCUUUGGGGAUUUGUUGGGGAAGGGAACGUUGUCAGUGGAACGCACCUGCGGGGUUUCCUCUUGCACGGCAAGCGAUUGCGUCAGUCUACUUGUGUAUGAAGCCGAUGACGCAUGUGCUUUUCGCUUCUCCACGAAAAAUAUUCUGUAUGCUCCAGUAUACCAGAGUGGGAGAAGUUGUCGCCCCGUUGCUCCACUGAUUAUUUCUCUUAAUUACAGAAUUACAGUGCUGAAUCUCAACAAGUGGUCGUGUGGUCCUUGUGUGA